rnacentral:rRNA from 1 species
AUUGAACGCUGGCGGCGUGCUUAACACAUGCAAGUCGUGCGGUAACAGGCGUAGCAAUACGUGCUGACGAGCGGCGAACGGGUGCGUAAUACAUGGGAAUCUGCCUUUUAGUGGGGAAUAACCCGGCGAAAGCCGGGCUAAUGCCGCAUAAGAUCUUCGGAUGAAAGCGGGGGAUCGUAAGACCUCGCGCUGAUAGAUGAGCCCAUGCCGGAUUAGCUAGUUGGNGAGGUAACGGCUCACCAAGGCGACGAUCCGUAGCUGGUCUGAGAGGACGGCCAGCCACACUGGGACUGAGACACGGCCCAGACUCCUACGGGAGGCAGCAGUGGGGAAUAUUGGACAAUGGGGGAAACCCUGAUCCAGCGACGCCGCGUGUGUGAAGAAGGCC